rnacentral:rRNA from 1 species
GAUGAACGCUGGCGGCGUGCUUAACACAUGCAAGUCGAACGAAGCACUUUAUUUGAUUUCCUUCGGGACUGAUUAUUUUGUGACUGAGUGGCGGACGGGUGAGUAACGCGUGGGUAACCUGCCUUGUACAGGGGGAUAACAGUUGGAAACGGCUGCUAAUACCGCAUAAGCGCACGACAUCGCAUGAUGCAGUGUGAAAAACUCCGGUGGUAUAAGAUGGACCCGCGUUGGAUUAGCUAGUUGGUGAGGUAACGGCCCACCAAGGCGACGAUCCAUAGCCGACCUGAGAGGGUGACCGGCCACAUUGGGACUGAGACACGGCCCAAACUCCUACGGGAGGCAGCAGUGGGGAAUAUUGCACAAUGGGCGAAAGCCUGAUGCAGCGACGCCGCGUGAGCGAAGAAGUAUUUCGGUAUGUAAAGCUCUAUCAGCAGGGAAGAUAAUGACGGUAC